UACGUAGGGGGCAAGCGUUGUCCGGAAUCAUUGGGCGUAAAGCGCGUGUAGGCGGCUUGGUAAGUCCGUUCUGAAAGCCCGGGGCUCAACCCCGGGAGGCGGAUGGAUACUGUCAAGCUCGAGUCCGGAAGAGGCGAGUGGAAUUCCAGGUGUAGCGGUGAAAUGCGCAGAUAUCUGGAGGAACACCCGUAGCGAAGGCGGCACUCUGGGCCGGAACUGACGCUGAGGAGCGAAAGCGUGGGGAGCGAACAGG
rnacentral:rRNA from 1 species